UACGGAGGGUGCAAGCGUUAUCCGGAUUCACUGGGUUUAAAGGGUGCGUAGGCGGGCAGGUAAGUCCGUGGUGAAAUCUCUGAGCUUAACUCAGAAACUGCCAUGGAUACUAUUUGUCUUGAAUAUUGUGGAGGUAAGCGGAAUAUGUCAUGUAGCGGUGAAAUGCUUAGAUAUGACAUAGAACACCAAUUGCGAAGGCAGCUUACUACACAAUAAUUGACACUGAGGCACGAAAGCGUGGGGAUCAAACAGG
rnacentral:rRNA from 1 species